GAGCCACGUAGGCUAGCUGAUAUGUUGCUGGCACCAUGCGAGGACACCUUAGCUGCAUGUCAAACAUGUCAGGAACACCUUGCCCCAUAUUCAAGUAUUUAUAGGGCAUGGUCCAGUAAAGAAUACUCCUUGCCCAUCGAGCUCUAACCAAUAACCACUGCAAGGGUGAAGUUGUUCUGGUGUUCCAGCCAGUGUUAGUCCUCUCCCUUACUGUAGAGUUAAGUUGUUCCUGAGCUGAGUGUCAACCUCCUGUGUGGUGACCAGGGUCAUCCAAGUGCCCACCUCGCCGCGGUCAAGCAAUCACAAGCGAUUCCCCAGCUGUACAGUGCAAGUUUCGUGUUCUCCUUAGGUCAGUGAAGCUCACACCAUUUACUACUUGUACUCUACCACUGUCUGUUGCUGGGAACUAGGUGUAAAAUUCGCUCAAAAAAAUAGGCUGUUGGAUUUUUGGAUCCCAGACUUAGUGCAGAAGGCUGAAACUAGGUUCUAGUGUGUUGAGCUCUAUUUUGGUGCUUCAUAAAAAUUGUUCUGAAUGUUUUCAACCUAGGGGUACUAUACCAAAGUAGUAGAGCUAUAUCUAAGGAAUAACUUUGGUUAUGUGAGUUUGGUCUGUUGCUUUGUAAAAAUUGGAGAAAAGGGUUGGCUAAAGUUUGUCUGUCUGGCUGGACACAUAACAGAAUUUUUAUUCAUUUCUGAAAACUGAAUUGCAGCAGGAUGCCUAGUUUGGAAUUCAUUUGUGACUGAUUCAUGGGGUAUUGGAUUAAAGUUUCCAUAGCAAAGCUGGAGACCAUAGUAAAGAGAGCAAGUUUUAUAAAGUGAGGUGGACUUGGUUCCACAUAAAUUUGGAAGUAAAAGUGGCC
rnacentral:lncRNA from 1 species